UACGAAGGGGGCUAGCGUUGCUCGGAAUUACUGGGCGUAAAGGGCGCGUAGGCGGAUGUUUAAGUCAGCGGUGAAAGCCCAGGGCUCAACCUUGGAACUGCCAUUGAUACUGGACAUCUUGAGUACGGGAGAGGUGAGUGGAACUCCGAGUGUAGAGGUGAAAUUCGUAGAUAUUCGGAAGAACACCAGUGGCGAAGGCGACUCACUGGCCCGUUACUGACGCUGAGGCGCGAAAGCCAGGGGAGCGAACGGG
rnacentral:rRNA from 1 species